CGUGGCCUUUCCGGCAGGCCGGCCUGGAAUGUCUCCGGUGACGCACGCUGUUUCCUAUGACGCAGGCCACAUUGUUUGAUCUAUUAAUAGCCCCAGCCGCUAUUAAUAGGCCGGCGGCUGGAGGGACGCGGCUCUGAAAUAGCAGCCAGGGGAGGGGAGACCCCGAAUGGACGUCAUCAGGCGGCGGAUAUAGCACGGGCGGGAGGCUUCCCUGGGAUUCUCUGCAUAUUUACGGCAGAAGAGAUUCCAUAUGCAGCGUGUGUAUAAAGUCAUCAGACGGGGAACGUGGAGCAUGGUUGUCAUGUGCCUGUGAUGUCAGCAUAGACACGAGUUAGUAUACACCGGUUUUCCAUGGUGACGGGUCACUGACGUGCAUCGCGCAAUACGCGAUGACGUCAUCAUUCAGCGCCGCCACGGCCGAGCGGGUCCCCGCCGGGCGAGCGAUGCACACUUCACUUCACUUUGGCGUCUGAGAUAUAAGUGUGAACAUGUCAAGCCUUGCAAGUCUUUCCUGGUAUUCCAGUGUCUCCAUCCACUUAAUUAGUUUGGCCGCCCUCCUCUGAACCUUUUCUAGCUCCAGGAUAUCCUUUUUGUAGUAAGGUGCCCAAACUUGUGCGCAGUAUUCCAGAUGGGGCCUCACUAGGGAUUUAUAUAAUGGGAGUAUAAUAUUCUUGUCCCUUGCAUCAAUAGCACUCUUUAUGCAUGCUAGUAUCUUUUUUGCCUUUUUGCUGCUACUAUUGGGUGCUGCUGUUACGUUUGUUAUCUAUGUGAACACCUAAAUCUUUUUCUAGUAUGGAGUCCUCCUUUAAUCACCCCAUUUAGUAUGUAGGUGUUAUUUUUGUUCUUGCUACCAAGGUGCAUUACCUUACACUUGUCUGUAUUGAAACGCAUUGUCCAUUUUGCUGCCCAGUUAAAAUAAAUCGUUCUGGAGAGACUCAGCAUCUCCCUCCGAAUUUAUAACCUUACACAGUUUGGUAUCGUCUGCAAAAAUUGACACCAUGCUCUCUA